GACGAACGCUGGCGGCGUGCUUAACACAUGCAAGUCGAACGGAAAGGCCCUGCUUUUGUGGGGUGCUCGAGUGGCGAACGGGUGGGUAACACGUGAGUAACCUGCCCUUGACUUUGGGAUAACUUCAGGAAACUGGGGCUAAUACCGGAUAGGAGCUCCUGCUGCAUGGUGGGGGUUGGAAAGUUUCGGCGGUUGGGGAUGGACUCGCGGCUUAUCAGCUGGUUGGUGGGGUAGUGGCUUACCAAGGCUUUGACGGGUAGCCGGCCUGAGAGGGUGACCGGCCACAUUGGGACUGAGAUACGGCCCAGACUCCUACGGGAGGCAGCAGUGGGGAAUAUUGCACAAUGGGCGGAAGCCUGAUGCAGCAACGCCGCGUGCGGGAUGACGGCCUUCGGGUUGUAAACCGCUUUCGCCUGUGACGAAGCGUGAGUGACGGUAAUGGGUAAAGAAGCACCGGCUAACUACGUG
rnacentral:rRNA from 1 species